rnacentral:rRNA from 1 species
AUCCAGACUCCUACGGGAGGCAGCAGUGGGGGAUAUUGCACAAUGGGGGCAACCCUGAUGCAGCGACGCCGCGUGAGCGAUGGAGUACUUCGGUAUGUAAAGCUCUGUCAGCAGGGAAGAGAAUGACGGUACCUGACCAAGAAGCCCCGGCUAAAUACGUGCCAGCAGCCGCGGUAAUACGUAUGGGGCAAGCGUUAUCCGGAUUUACUGGGUGUAAAGCGCUCGUAGGCGGUAUGUCAAGUCAAGGGUGAAAUCCCCGCGCUCAACGUGGGAACUGCCUUUGAAACUGGCAAACCGGAGUGUGUGAGAGGAUAGUGGAAUUCCAGGUGUAGGAGUGAAAUCCGUAGAUAUCUGGAGGAACAUCAGUGGCGAAGGCGACUAUCUGGCACAUAACUGGCGCUGAGGAGCGAAAGCGUGGGUAGCAAACAGGAUUAGAUACCCGCGUAU